CGUAUGCAAAUCCGCCGAGGGGCGGGCCUCCCACGCGGCGCCGGGUCGGAACCUGGACGCAGGCGUCUCCCAUCCCCCACUCAAUGAUCUCGGGCGGUUCCCGCACCUGCACUAGGACAGUCUUCAUUGGUUGGAUUGGCCUACGGAAAUAGUGAAUGGCUGCGCCAACCGGGGAGCAGAGAGAUUCAGGUGUAACUUGAAGACGUCCGAUGAAAGACUGCAUGAAGUACCUAACCCUCAGUCUGAUCACGUGGAAGAGGUGGGAGCUGUUAGAUUAUAGAGUGAAGCCCAGAAUCUCGCUGUGACCCUGCAGGGGAGAAGCCAGAGCAUCGCAGCGGGCCUCGGCCACAGCAACCUGCAGUAACACCGAUGGAUGCCUUUCUGGCCACAUUCUAGUUCACGGUGGGACAAGCCGAUCGGAUCACCAGACCUUCUGGUACCAAGAUUUAAGAAGAUGAGAACCUGCCUCACGGAGUUGAAGUGUAAAUUUCCUUUGAACCAGAGAUCAGUGCUGGCGCUAACGACAAAUAUUAUCACAAGAUGUACGGCACACGGAAAAAUCUCUCCAAAAUUCAGCGCACUUUAUAUGUCCUUGAAUUAGUGGCAGACUCAGAUAUGAAAUUACUGAAUAGGAGGGAAAAAAAUAGGUAGUGGCUGAGGCCCCAAACACCCUCCAGUUGGCUCAGUGAACGUGCAGUAUCCUGCCUGGAACUUCCUCAAGAGCGCACCUGCCAAAAAGACCCUGGAAAAGGACGAAAGCCACGGCGGCUCAGCUGUGUAACAACAGCCCUUGGCAGUGAUGCAGUAGUUUUCACCUGAAGUUCGACUCUUUCUUUCUUUCCUUUUUUUUUUUUUUUUUUUUUUG